ACUUAGCCUAUACAUCUAAAAUUCAAUGUUCCUUACUAGUCCAUUAUUUUAAUGACAAAAGCCCCAUGUUUUCUCAUUUUAUUUUCUCAAAGUUAACAAUGAAAUUCUAUGGAAUUUGGUGCAAUGUAUAGCAGUGGGAAUUGAAGAUGGACGUGAAAAUGACAUGUACUACAUGGUCACAGCUCUCUCUGAAUUUACAAAGAAAAUAGUCGUCUUGGCUUUCAAGAACAUGCUGACAAGUUGAGUUUCCGAAGACUAUAACAAAGGAUGCUGGCUGUGAUUCCGCAAAUGAAAUAUGACUUGAACUAUCUCCAAAAUUACUUUUCCUUACAGAUCUUAAAAGCAUUAAUGAAUACUGUAGCUAUGAGGAAAUACCAACCAAAAAUUUCAAAAGCGUUUUGAAAGCUGUUUUUUUACACUUGAAUUGUGUUGAAUGUACACAUGCAGUAUCAUGUGCACAUUGUUACUUUUUUACAUGUCUGUGAUCAGAAUUUGUUAAUACAUGUACAUGUACGUGUGUAUAUCGCAUUAUGUUUUGUGAUUAAAGUGUUAAUAUUU
rnacentral:misc_RNA from 1 species